UUUCGUGUUCCUUGUUGUACUUUGUGUGCUUCACGUGAUGUAGGGUUUUGAACGAGUCGCUAAAGCCUUCUUCGCCUCCUUGGACGACAAAUUUGCGAAAGUUCGUCGUCAUUGGAUCGAACGUAGCGACGGGAGGGUUUUGAACAAGCCGCUAAAGCCUUCUUCGCCUCCUUCGAUGAUGUUCUUGUCGAAUCGGAAUUCACAAAAGUUCGUCAUUCUUCCUGUUGGAUCGGACAUAGCGACGAGAGGGUUUUGCAUGAGUCGCUAAAGCCUUCUUCGUUUUAUUCGACUACAUUCCUUCUUGUCGGAUCGGAAGUUGCGAAAGUUCGUCAUUCUUCCUUUUGGAUCCGACGUAGCGAUAGGAGCUCACUUGUUGUGAAGAGAGAUUAUUUGCUUCCAACCUAGUUGAUGGGGAAAUCGACAGGAGGUUUCGACGCGUUUAUCAGAGGCGACACAGAAGAUUGAUGGCCAUGAUGGAUAGUCUUUACUUUUGAUGCAUUUUUUGUAUUAGCAUUUUAUGUACUAAUCAUGUUAUUUCAGUUUUUCCGUUUUUGCCCUUAUGGGUAGUUAGUCGCUAUUGUAGCCCAAAGGGGCAUUUUAGUCUUUUGUUUCCUUGUCAUUUUGAGGCCUAUAUAUGUGGUCAUUUUCUUAUGUAUGAGGAUGAUUGAUGAAUGAAAAAAAUUUCUACU